GACCUCAAAUCAGGUAAGAAUACCCGCUGAACUUAAGCAUAUCAAUAAGCGGAGGAAAAGAAAAUAACAAUGAUUCCCUCAGUAACGGCGAGCGAAGAGGGAUAAGCUCAAAUUUUAAAUCUGUUGGGUUUCAACCUAACAGAGUUGUAUUUUGAAGAAACGUUUUCUGCGUCCAGGAUUAGCCUAAAUCCUUUGGGAUAAGGUAUCAUGGAGGGUGAGAAUCCCGUUCAUGGUUAAUCUUAAGGAUGCUCUACGAUACGUUCUCCAAGAGUCGAGUUGUUUGGGAUUGCAGCUCAAAAUGGGAGGUAAAUUUCUCCUAAGGCUAAAUAUUGGCGAGAGACCGAUAGCGAACAAGUACCGUGAGGGAAAGAUGAAAAGAACUUUGAAAAGAGAGUUAAACAGUACGUGAAAUUGUUGAAAGGGAAACGAUUGAAGUCAGUCAUACCAACGGGAAAUCAACCUUUUGAGUUCGUUCUUGUGGGUUUCGAGGAGUUUAAAAGCCUUCUGAUUUGCUAGGAUUGGGCACUUUUGGUGUACUUUCUCGUACGGUUAGUCAACAUCGGUUUUGAAUGUCAUAAAAUGACUGGAGGAAUGUGGCUUCGAUCUCGUAUCGAAGUGUUAUAACCUUUGGUAGAUGUGAUGUUCGAGACCGAGGAUUGCAACGGAUACCUUCCAGGCUAUUCGUCUGAUCUCUGAUACGUUGCCUUGAUGUCGAAAGCGUGCUUAUGAUGUUAGGGUAUUACGGUCAAAAGGUUAGAACGGAUUAAAUUCGUUAAGGAUGUUGACGUAAUGACUUUAAACGACCCGUCUUGAAACACGGACCAAGGAG
rnacentral:rRNA from 1 species